rnacentral:lncRNA from 1 species
CUCUUCCUCGUACAGUCUCCUAGCCCCGCCGGAACCAUCGCCGGUGGGAAGCGCAACCUAUGUCGUUGGCCACCAAAUCAACGCCAUUGAUACCCCUUCCUCUCCUCUUUCCAACCCCCACACCAUCAUCUCGCGAACUUCCCCCAGGCCGUCGAUUAUCUAUUUGAAGAUUUUUCGGCCACGACGUCAACUAUUUCAAAUCGCUCCAAACUUACACCAUUGACUCUCCUAACUUCCCUCAACCCAAAUAUAUGAACAUCUUGUCUCAAAUCUGGGUGGAAGUGCUCGAAUUUUAGUUUGAAAUUUCCAGCCAAAAUCCUAGGCGCUUUUAAGUACUCCAAAUUGAUGCAACGUGAUCUUCCGUCUUGCCUCGUGACGAAUUCAACGUUAGUAGCCAUUGAAUGCCAUUGAAGUUGGUCAAAUCUUAUAACAUGUGAGUUCCUCACAGUUUUUCUAUUUUUUUCUUUGUGUUAUUAUUUGACUCGAAUGCAGUUUUAUCUUCUCGGGUUAAUAAUUGCAGAUUGUUCUUGUUGCCUCUCGAAUUUCUGUUAACUGAUAAAUUUGGCAUUAGCUAGCAAUUAGUCUUGAUCAAUAAUUGGUUUAGUUUAGAUUUGUGAUGAUUAGGUCAAUGUUGUUGAUGAGUUCAAUUCUCCUUUAGUUAGUUAAUUGUUCCGCUUUGAGUUAGUUGUCAGUAAUGGUUCAUUAAUAAGUUAACCGUUCUUCAUUUGUUAGAAUAGUUCAAUUUGUUUUUUUUACUGAAUUUGUGAUAAUCAUUUGUUGGGUUGUUUGGAUUGUUGAUAGUAAUUGGGAGUUUGAAGAUUGUUAUUUAAUUGGAGAUUGGAUUAACCUUAGUUAAGUUCACCAAAGAUAGAGAAUUUAGAAAGUUAAGAUAGUAAUUGCAAAUAAAAGUUUAGGGGCAUUAUGGGUAAUUGACAUUGAACUUGAAAGUUGUAGGUUAGAGUAGAAAGCCCUAUAUCUUCUAGAAUAGGGUCAAGUGUAGGGUUUUAGUAAAUGUAAUGCAUUAACUUGUUACGUAGGUCAGAAAUCAGAGGACCAAAACAAAAUAAAAAAGGGACUAAUAGUGCAAACUGAAAAUCUGAGGGUUGACCCAUCUUUGCCUAUAAAGCAGCCCCAAUGCCAUAAUUCACAAGUUUGGGUAGCCUAAAAUUCCCCCUCUCAAGAUAUUCUACAGACUUCCAUAUCUACAAUUAAUAUUUCAGGUCUGAAAUUCCUUUAAAUCUCAACUUCUUUAAAAAGAAAAACUAAAAACAACAAAAGCUUCAAAAAAAAUGUACUACUAUAGUGUUUUUUAGGCAAAAUUGUUCACUUCCAGUCUCAUCUGUUUGUUGAGGUUCAUUGAAGUUUAUUAGUUUGUUUAUUGGGUUGCUUUGGGUCCAUGCAAAUUGAUUUUGAGUUGAAUUAGUGAAGCUGAUUGGUUUUAAAACAUUUAUGGACCAUCUGGUUGUGAUUUCAAGCUACUAUGAGUUAGUUCAAGCAGUGUUGGAUUGAGUUGCUAGUUUUCUGUUGACUUGUUGAAUAAUUUCUGGAUUUCGAACCUAUUCAUUGGCUGUUGGUUAUUCCAUAACUGUAGGAAAUUGCUUAUUGCUACUACUGUGCUGGGACCGACCUCCUUUGCUUCUAUUUGUGUCAAUUUCCGUGUACUUUUCGGUUUCCUUUGAUGUUGAUGGACUGAAUUUGUGUGUUGGUCGAUUGAAGAAAUAAAAUUCAAGUCUUGUUAACUUAAUGUUGAAUCUGUGCAAUAUCGUGCAAACUGGGAUUUUAGUUGUGUAGCAGUAAUAAUAGAGAAUUGGAUAAUUGAAACACUUUUAUAAUUUGUAGUAAACGAACUAUUGUGGACUAUUGAUUUGAAUCUGUACUCAAUUGUUCUGGAAGAUUUUUAUUAGGAAAUAAUAGUUGAUGCUUGAACACUUACGAGAAUUCAUCUUGUUUAGUAGUUAGUAGUUGAAUUUCAAAAUAAAUUAGACGGUAAUAUUGUCAGUAUAUGGAUGCCACGUUCGUUAGGUUAAGUGGAGUUGAAAAUUAAGUUGAAUUGAGGGUUCAUUUUCACAUUGUGGUUUGGGUAAAAUGUUGACAAUAUUAUUAGUUUUUGAUUGUAUUUGAGUGACUAAAUACUGUAACGGUUAAUGUGUUUUGGAUUUUUGGCUUGGAUCAAUUCAUUAUUAAAGAUUGGGGCUCUGAGGCUUCGAUACGGCAAUUCUGUGCAUGCGCACAUUGGGCAAGCGUAGGCUUCCCUUUGGAACUUUGGAGCACCCUUGCCCAGGCUCUAAAUCUGUUUUGCCCUCAACGGAAACGGGGCUGGUUUACGAGCCUGUUUCUUUGGGCCAGCCAUUUGUGCCCAGUUUAAAAUUCAAUACAUGGUUUACAUAAAAUUUGGGUUUUGAGUUAGGUAGCGGGUUCAAGCUAAAAGGCACCCCCUUUUGUUUGGACCCGGACUUGAACUUGAAGCCCGAAUUUUAGUAUUAAUUAAUUAAUUAAUUAGGUCUUUAUUUUCUUUUAGAGACAAAAAUAAAAACAGAAAAUAUAGUCUCUCUUAGGCUAACACUUUAUAAUAAAAAUGGGACAAGCCUCGGCCGAUGAAAUGAAAAAUUGUGGGGCCCUAAAUAAAGGUUUUUAAAUUAUUUGGAAAAUCAGGAAGGGUCGUUUAGUGAAUUUUACGACUCUCCCAAAAGAUAAUAAUGCGUUAGACUCUUUAGACGUGAUUUUAAUAAAAAUACGUUCCGAAACUCGGUUGUGCAUUUCAUGCGACCCAAAUAGAAUCCCAAAAUAUUGAAUAAAUUGUUUUUUGGAUUGCAAGUGCAUUUCAUGUGACGCAAUGCAAAGGCACGCUUUAAACAAUGUUCACCUUCCUUUCUUUAAAAUAAAUACACAUUGAAUAAAAGCGGUUAAAAAGUAAAAUUGGCACAUAGGUUCUUCAUGUAAUAAAAUUAGAUAAAUAAGCUAAAUGCAACAGUUGAGCGACCGUGCUAGAACCACGGAACUCGGGAAUGCCCAACACCUUAUCCCGGUUUAACAAAAUUCCUUAUCUAGAUUCUGGUUCGCAAACUGUUAACAGAGUCGUCUUAUCCUCGGUUAGGGAUUCAACCGGUGACUUGGGACACCAUUAAUCUCCUAAGUCGCGACUCUGAAUAAAUAAUAAUAAAUCUCGUUCUGAUUGUCCUUUAAUUGGAAAAACUCAUUUACUCCUCUUUUUAGGGGUGUAGGUGAAAAAGGAGGCGUGACAGCUCUGGCGAAUCUGCUGGAGAACAAGAACCCAGAACGUUUUGUUUAGGGUUCAAAUUCGAGCUUGGAAUAAUUGUUAUGUUUGGCUUUAUCUGAUUUUGUUACAUGAUCUGUGCCCAAUGUGCUAAUUUAUUGCUUUUUACCGCUUUGAUAUUAUGUGGACUGUAUAUAAACUGUGUCGAAACUCAUCUCCUCUCUAAGUCUUCUGAAUCAUGAAGAAGGGUAUACCUUGUACGACUUCUUUUCUGUAUAGAGUCAAAUCCCAAUUUAGAACGAGGUUUGAGUAAGUUGCAAAACCGGCGAAGCUUCUGUAUUCCCGAGAUGCUGCCUCCCCUCGGCUCGAGUUGUCCGCUCGAGUAAGCCAAGUCUAGAACAAACACCCGGGUUUUGAACCUAGAAUAACUCAGCCUCAUGCCGGAUCCCUAGUAGGAAUGCUUAUUUGCAUCAUGUUCAUUUUGACUUAGGGGACUCAACACAGGGGUUGGGUCCGUCUAGGGCUAGCAACCUAAAAUGAAAAGACCAUCCUGAUACAUCCUACUUGUUUUCUGUGCAUUUAUUUGUUCAUGCUUGCAUGUUGACCGGCUUCUGAAUCUCGGAAAUGUUAGAAAAUUAAAACCAAAAGAGAAAAAGAGAAAAAGAGAAAAAUAGCAUUUGGAGAGUUAAUUGAAUGUUUUGAAAAACCAAUGCUCAAGUACUGUCGAAACUCUGCUAAAAUUUUGAGAAAAUAAAAAAAUGUUUUGUUUUUAAAUAGUUGUUUUAUUCAAAAAGAGUCUGUCAUUUUUAGUUUUUGUUGUUUGCAAAAAUGGAAAAUGAAAAAUAGUUUGUUUUGUCAUGGGAAAAGAAAAAAAAGAGUCUUGAUUUUUGUUCUUCUUGUUUCAAAAUAGUUUAUUUGCCAACAAAAGCGAAAAUAAGUUGCUCUAUUGUUUGUUGAAAAUGAAAAAAGGCUUGUUUUUAAAAGUAUUUUAUUUAAUUUAUUUAUUUUAUUUGAAAUGCCAAAAAUGAAAAUAAAAAAGUCAUGUUUUAAAAUAGUUCGGUUAAUUUGUUCGAACUACGUCAGUUUGAUUCUCACAUGGUGUGGGAUACGUAGGUAACCCUUAUCGGGUCCAACCUCUCCUUUGCAAAAAUAACCAAAAAUAUCAAAAUUGUAAUUUUUGUCAUAAAUAAAUCAGGUGAUACUAUUUUUGUCAAAAAUAGCCAAAUCUUCCCAAACGGGACGUCAAAAGCCUGACCUUGCAUAAAUGGCCUUUGGUCAUAUUUUGAUUUUUUUACCCUAGCAGCCUUAAGUCUUCGUCCCUAAGGAGCUGGAAGGUCGUGUUUGUAUUACUGGGUCAUUUAUUUUAAUUUAAAAAAAAACAAGAAAGAGAGUCGGUGGUCAAGUGAAUACCGUUCGGAUUUUGGGUCAAAAUUGGCAUAUAGGGGAAGGAAUCUAUCAUUUUGUUUUUGGGUUUGUAUUUCUUUUGAUUAGAGUAUAUGGGUUGUUUGAUUUUUGAGUCUGUAUUUUAUCGUUAAAUUGGUUAGUUUUGUUGUUAUUAUGAAUAUGGAAAAUUCCAAAAAUGUCUUACUCUCGUUUACCAUUUAUUUUCAAGAACUACGCACGGUCUGAUUCAUGCGGGGUCAUGAAACGUAGGCAAUCUCCAUAAUAUUUGACCACAACCAAAAAAAUGGAAAAGAAAAUUGAAUAAAGAAAAAUUAAGAAAAACUGGAAAAGAUGUUGUUAAUAAUGAGGACCGACUUAAUCCAUUCUAACAUGUUCUAUUUUGAAUUGUGAAGAAAGUUGAGGUGGUUGGUUUGUGGUAACUCCUCCAUACAACACAAGGUCGAAAAACAAGGCAGUCAUGGCCAGCAAAAAGUUGAACACAGGUAUUACUUAUCCAUCUAGGGGCAUUGUUGAAUCAGAUCUGAGCUGAAAGAAGAGGUUUUGAGGUUGAAAAGACAGAUAGUCGGAAUGCACAAAGCUUGGGCCAGUGGGUAUCCUCCGCCAUCA